UGGAGGCUGCCGCGCGGAGAGGUCCGCCCAGCCAGGAUGUGCGUUGUCCUGAGAAUCGAAUUACCCGGAACCCCAGAGCUCACCCUCUCUGAAGGAGAGCAGGUGCCUCCUGAGAGCAGGGCUUCUCUACCUUGGGGCACUAUGAACAUUCUGAGUGGGGCGCCCUGAACGAGUGCCCAGAUGCUUGUGAGGCCCAGAUCUUGGGGUGUGCAGCCAGGAAGGGCUCUGCUAGCUUUCCCACCUCCCUCCUGACCUCUUCUGCCCCUCACUGGACCCAGCCCGUUGGCUUCAGGAUGGGCCCCACGGGACAUGCUUUCAUGGAACCUGAGGAAAGAAUGCACUUACAACAGCGCCGGGAGCACAGAGGCUUCCCACUACCCUUUCCGAGAAGCACGUCUAUUUUCUCUAAUUUAUUCAGUGCCGCUGUGCGUGUGUGGCCUCUCAGUGCCCACUUUGUUCAUCUCUGCUCACUGGGGGAGCCAGGACACGGAUCCAGGUUUUCUGACUCCAGGUCUCAGGCUUGCUCCAUAGCGCCACCUGCUGGUGACGGCAAUCGGUAGGCACCCAAAUCAAGACUCAGAUUUCCUCAUCUCAGAAGUUGUCCACUUCUUCUCCGACCUCCACGGUAACUCGGAACCACACCGUGGAGUUAUCCCUGUGUCCUCUUUCUCGGAAGUUCCACAUCCAACCCCUCAGCAGGUCUCAGCGGCACUCUCACCACCUCCUCUGCUCUGUUCCUGUUUCUCUUGGAUGGUCGAAUGUUUCCUAAGGAGUGUCUGCUGCUUCACGCUUGCCCCCUGGAGUGGCAUCUAAAAGGUGCAGGUCAGAUGAAUCUUUCUUCUGCCAGGGCUCCCGGCUUAGCCAAGGAAAAGCACAAGUCCCUGACCAUAUCCUGCAAAAUUCCACAUCUGGGAACUCAGGCAUAUCAGGCCUGGUCUCUUUUUCUUCUUCCUUUUAAAAUAACGAAUACAUUGACAUGCCCCUUAUUACACCAUGCUGAAAUGAAAUUCAUAGGCAAUAUCACCUAUCUAUAGACACAAUUUACAUAAAUCCAUGUAAGCCACAUAAUGCCCUAAUUGUAUUCUAGAGGAGAAUUAAAAGGAAACGAAUUUAUAAUAAAAUAA
ensembl:lncRNA LINC02128 long intergenic non-protein coding RNA 2128